rnacentral:rRNA from 1 species
UACGGAGGGGGCUAGCGUUGUUCGGAAUUACUGGGCGUAAAGCGCACGUAGGCGGCUUUGUAAGUCAGAGGUGAAAGCCCGGAGCUUAACUCCGGAAUUGCCUUUGAGACUGCAUCGCUUGAAUCCAGGAGAGGUGAGUGGAAUUCCGAGUGUAGAGGUGAAAUUCGUAGAUAUUCGCAAGAACACCAGUGGCGAAGGCGGCUCACUGGCCCGAUACUGACGCUGAGGUGCGAAAGCGUGGGGAGCAAACAGG